rnacentral:rRNA from 1 species
GCAUGGCCGUUCUUAGUUGGUGGAGUGAUUUGUCUGGUUAAUUCCGUUAACGAACGAGACCUCGGCUUGCUAACUAGCGCCGCGCGGGCCUCCCGCGCGCGCACUUCUUAGAGGGACUGCGGGCGUUCAGCCCGUGGAGGUUUGAGGCAAUAACA